GUUCCCUCCUCCUCUUUCCUCCCUUCCUCUCCCGUGAUGUCCCAUAUUAUUGGGCCUAAAGCGUCCGUAGCUGGCCGACCAAGUCUCCCGGGAAAUCCACCCGCCCAACGGGUGGGCGUCCGGUAGAAACUGGCCGGCUUGGAACCGGAAGGCUCAGAGAGUACGUCCGGGGUAGGAGUGAAAUCCCGUAAUCCCGGACGGACUACCGAUGGCGAAAGCACUCUGAAAAGACGGCUUCGACAGUGAGGGACGAAAGCUCGGGUCUCAAACCGGAUUAGUACCCGAGUAGUCC
rnacentral:rRNA from 1 species